rnacentral:rRNA from 1 species
GGCCACUGCUUUUGGGGUUCGAUUAAGCCAUGCAAGUCGAACGAAUCUUCGGAUUCGUGGCGAACGGCUCAGUAACACGUGGAUAAUCUACCCUUAGGACUGGGAUAACCCUGGGAAACUGGGGAUAAUACCGGAUAGUUAGGAGUUCCUGGAAUGGUCUUCUUUUUAAAUGUUCAGGCGCCUAAGGAUGGAUCUGCGGCAGAUUAGGUAGUUGGUGGGGUAAUGGCCCACCAAGCCUUUGAUCUGUACGGGUUGUGAGAGCAAGAGCCCGGAGAUGGAACCUGAGACAAGGUUCCAGGCCCUAC